rnacentral:rRNA from 1 species
CCUACGGGAGGCAGCAGUGAGGAAUAUUGGUCAAUGGGCGAGAGCCUGAACCAGCCAAGUCGCGUGAGGGAGUACUGCCCUAUGGGUUGUAAACCUCUUUUGUCGGGGAGCAAAAGCCGGACGUGUCCGGCUGUGAGAUUACCCGAAGAAAAAGCAUCGGCUAACUCCGUGCCAGCAGCCGCGGUAAUACGGAGGAUGCGAGCUUUAUCCGGAUUUAUUGGGUUUAAAGGGUGCGCAGGCGGAUUUUUAAGUCAGCGGUAAAAUCGUGGGGCUCAACCCCAUCCAGCCGUUGAAACUGGGGAUCUAGAGUGUGCGAGAGGUAUGCGGAAUGCGUGGUGUAGCGGUGAAAUGCAUAGAUAUCACGCAGAACCCCGAUUGCGAAGGCAGCAUACCGGUGCACAACUGACGCUCAGGCACGAAAGCGUGGGUAUCGAACAGGAUUAGAUACCCGGGUAGUC